AUAGAACGCUGGCGGCAUGCUUUACACAUGCAAGUCGAACGGUAACAGGCCGCAAGGUGCUGACGGGUGGCGAACGGGUGAGUAAUGCAUCGGAACGCGCCCAGUCGUGGGGGAUAACGCAGCGAAAGCUGCGCUAAUACCGCAUACGAUCUAUGGAUGAAAGCGGGGGACCGUAAGGCCUCGCGCGAUUGGAGCGGCCGAUGUCAGAUUAGGUAGUUGGUGGGGUAAAGGCUCACCAAGCCAACGAUCUGUAGCUGGUCUGAGAGGACGACCAGCCACACUGGGACUGAGACACGGACCAGACUCCUACGGGAGGCAGCAGUGGGGAAUUUUGGACAAUGGGCGCAAGCCUGAUCCAGCAAUGCCGCGUGCAGGAAGAAGGCCUUCGGGUUGUAAACUGCUUUUGUACGGAACGAAACGGUCCUGGUUAAUACCUGGGGCUAAUGACGGUACCGUAAGAAUAAGCACCGGCUAACUACGUGCCAGCCGCCGCAGUAAAAC
rnacentral:rRNA from 1 species